GUUUCAGUGGGUCAUCAGGCAAGAGGAAGUGCUGGAGGGAGAGGCAUUCUUACUGCAUUUAAGGUGGAGGGUCAGCAUGAGGAAAGGCAUGCAGGUGAGCAACAGCUGGGUGAGUAAGGGGCCCACAAGUGGUCAGUUGGUCAUAGCCCUAGCCUAAAACUUGCAGAUCUGCGAAUCUUGCCCCAUAGCCACUGCUCCCAGUUUUAAGCUGGGAACACCAUAUCAACUUUAGUUUGUGGCAGCCAGUUCAGCAGGCAGGAAUCUCCCAUCUGGCUGCUAAGUGCUUUAAGGGCCAGGGCUGAAUUGGGUCAUUGCUAUGGCCUCCAACUCUGUGCCUGGCCCAUCAUAGGAACCGAAUGGAUGGGUUUGAUGGGGCAAUUCCAGACGCACCAAUGUCUGCUAGUUCCCUGCUCUUGUUCUCCCACCCUGUCAGUCCUCAGGUAAGGCUUCUUUGAUCAUUUGCUCUUAAAUGGACUUCCAGAGAGGGUGUAUCUGGAGGGUGGGCUUGGCUCCCUGGGGAUGGGUUGGGGGAGAAGAUGGAGCCAGUAAAUGAGAUAGAAUGGUUGUUCAUGCAUCAUCUUUAAACAAGCAGGGAGGGCUGCUGGAAAAAGUGACAUUUGACUGAGGCCCUGAAGGAUGGAUUAGAUUUGGAUCAUAGGAGGUGGCAGAGAGAAUCUCAGGUGGAAAGAAUAGCUUGUAUAAGGACAUGGAAGUGCAUGGAGGUGGGAGAGGUUCCACCUGUGUUGGAAUAGCAGGCAGUCCAGUUUGUUUUGCAUUCUGGGAAUGUGUAAGAGAAAGGGACAGGUAGGUGUGGUCAAUAUGCAAAAUGUCUGGAAGGUUUCCUUCAGUGGUGGGAAGAAGCACAUGACUGAGUUUCAGGAAAGUAGGCUCUGGUUCAUUCCCUUAAGCUAGAAGCCCAGGAGUCAUUCUCACUUCUUCCCUUUUCUUCAACCACCAUAUUCCAAUUCAAAAGCAAACCUUGUUGAUUCGGCCUCUGAUAUAUAUCUUAGGCCUAGUUGCUUUACUUCUGCUGUUAUCACCUUAGUUCAGCCAUUCAUGAUUUCUGCCUGGUCCUUUAAUGCCCUCUGAUAGUAUAGCCAGCACAUACUGAGGGGAAGGAGUAAAACAUAGUGGUCAAGCACAUGGGACUCUGGAGCUAUUGGCUUGAUUGGAAUUCUUAAACUGCAACUCUGCCACUCACUAGCUAAGUGUCCUUGAGCAAGUGACUUAACUUCUCUGUGCUCAGGUUCCUCAUCUGUAAAAUAGGGGGAAAUCAUAGCACCUACCUUAGAGAGGAGUUGUGAGGAUUAAAUGGGUUAAACAUGGUAAGUUCUUGGAAUAAUGCCUGGUGUACAGGAAAAGCUGUUUAAGUGUUAGUCAUCAUUACUACUGUAAUCUGUCUCUCCAUAUCCAGUUUUGUUCCUCUCUGCCAGAAAGAUGUAUGUAUUUUACGAACUUUAUAUUUUGCAAUAAUUUUGGAUUUAUAAUAGAGUCGCAAAGAUGGUAUAAAGUUUCCAUGUGCCCUUCAUCCAGCUUUCUUUUUUUUUUUCUUUUUUCAAUGACCAGUGGAAGAAAAUCCAUCCAGCUUUCUUAAAUGUUAACAUCUUAUAUAACUGUGAUAUAUUUAUCAAAACUAAGAAAUUAGCAUUAGCAUAAUACUAUUAAUGGAACUACAUAAUUUGUUUGAAUUUCCCCAGGUUUUUUCCUCACUAAUGUCUAUUUUCUGUUCUAAGAUCCAGUCCAGGAUACUAUGUUGCAUUUAGCAGUGGAUUAUCUUCUCAGGUCCCAAUGCCUGAGAACCCUUCCUUGGCCUGCCAGACUCUGAGGCCAUGUCAAGUCCUCAACAAGGAUUUUAGGGCUCCUGCCUGUUUCUCACCAUGCUCCAGGGCUUUGAGUAGGAGAAGCCUCUGGUCUUUCCUAAUUUUCCAGCCACCAAACUCGCCUCCUCCACCUUCACCUGAGUUGGUCCAUCUGCACCAACACUCUUCCCUUCUUUUUGGAGAGCUCCUAAUCCUUUAGGGCUCAUGUGGCACUCCCUCAUGGUGGCCCAUUCAGCCCUUCGGAAAGGGCAGUGGUGAGCCAUUGAAGGUUUCUGAACAGAGAAGUGCUUAUUGGGAGCUGUCAGAGCUGCGCUUUCAGAAGAUGAAUCUGGCAACAACGUGGGUAGGACGGACAGAUGACGAUUGGUUAAUAUUAAUGCCCUGCGCUCCUCAAGCACACAUUUCCAGGGAGAAGUGCUCCAGGAGGGUGCCAAGUGGCCUGGAGGUGACACCCAAAGAGUAGACAAUGCCCAUGCAGGAAACUGCCCGGACCUGAGGGUGUCACUGGAUUUGAGCCUUUUCGAGAAGUGGGACUUCUGAGCCUUCUGCAAACUCUUGCUCGUUUCCUUCUGUGACAGGGAAGUCACCGCUCACUGCGUCUGAAUUCUGGCACCCCGCCUUUAGAGGCUAGGACGCCCCAGUUCCCUAUCAGUCCACCUGGGGCAGAGUAGAACCAUCACCCUCUACCUAGCGCCACUGCUGCUCCCUGCCCCCUCACCCCCUUCAGAGCUGGGCCCUGGUGGGGGGGGGCUGGCAGUUGGUACCUGUCAAAAGGGAACUGGGAGUGGCAGGAAACAGGCUCUUUGGAAUCCUACCUGGUGCCUCCCUCAAAGCUCCUGCUUGCCACCUGGGUGCUGUGUGCACACAGGAAUCGGCUGGGGGUGGGGAUGCUGGCUGGCCUGGUUUGUAACACUUCUUCCUGCUCCCCAAAGCCAGUGCACAGGGUGUACCCCUGUACAUGUGUCCCCAUUUGUGGGCAAGGCUGUGCCCACAUGGGUGUCUGGAGAUGUGGGUUUAUUUGCAUAUUCACAGGCUCUCAGGGUUGCAAGGGACUUGGGAAGAGACCUUCCCCUCCUCCUCUCCCUCUGCCACUUCCAUGCCAAAUGUUCAUCUGGAUCCUGUUUGAUCACUCCAAGGGACUGGAAACUCACUUCUUUCCCAGAAAGCCCAUCUCUGCUGAGGGUUGGAAUACUGAUUCGGAAACUGUGCCAGGCAACUGCCCCCCACUUCCACCCCAUCUGUGGGAAAACAGGGCCAGGACGGGGUGUCAAGAAACAGCAUCCUGAGGAAGUUACAGCUGAUGUUUACCAAAUACCUGCUAUCAGCCAGGCACUGUACUAAGUGUCACACAUAUAGUCACUCUUGUAAUCUACAUAAAACUCCAUGAGGUCAUGUGUGUUGUUAUCCCAUUGUAUUGAAGAGGAAACUGAGGCACAGAGAAGUUAAGGCUCUUGCCUAGAGUCUCACAGCCAGGAAGGCUAGCUCUGCCUGAGUUUAAUCACCACAUUAUAUUGCAGGUACUGCCCAGAGAGAGGGAGACAGAGAAAGGAAGAGAGACAGAGACAGAGAGCGAGUGAACAGUAUGCGCACGCAGGAGAAAUGGGAACUUGGAAAGACCUAAGUGACUCGUUCAAGGUCACAUGGUAUAUAGGAGGUGGAGCUGCAAUCUGCUGUCGGGAUUGUAUGACUCAAGCAUCCAUGUCUCCUCGUCGGCUCCUGCUGAACUGCCCAUGUCUGCACAGCCCAGCUCCCUCCGGCUGGCCCGCACUGGCUCCAGCUCUGUCUGCUGGCCUUGGCGUCUAGGCUCCUAGACGCUGCCUCCUACCUCCUGCCCCAACAAGGGGGCAACUUCCUGCCGUUGCUGAUCUGGGUCUCCCUACCUCUUCUGUCAUCUGAACAACCAAACCCCUCAUUUAAAUCCCUGUGCUUGAAAGGCCUGGAGUGGUUUCUGUUUUCUCAGUGGACUCAGAGGAAUGAAUGAGUGGAUGCGCUACUCGUUCCCAUCUGAGAGGACAGCGUACGAGCAGCUGUCCGAGUGGGUCGCUCUGCCUGGGAUCUGGAAUCUUACGGAUGUGGCAGCCUUGCCCUGGGCAGGACGCCCCAUCCCACUGCUGGGGCACAUGCCUCUGGCACGUGGGUCUUCCCCUAGCCCAGGGGAUGUCACCCUUCUAUCCCGGCAUUGCUCACUCUCUGAGCUCGGCGCUGCUGCAUGAUGCAAUAGUAUAAGAUGUGGCCCACCUCACACCCAUUAGGAUGGCUCCUAGCAAAAAAUCCAAAAAAAUAACAAGUGUUGGUGAGGAUGUGGAGAAAUUGGAACGCUCGUGCACUGUUGGUGCGAAUGUAAAAUAGCGCAGCUGCGGUGGAAAACAGUGCCGGUGGUUCCUCAAAAAUUAAGCAUAGAAUUACCAUAUGAUCCGGCAAUUCC